rnacentral:rRNA from 1 species
AGAGUUUGAUCCUGGCUCAGGAUGAACGCUGGCGGUGCGCCUAAUGCAUGCAAGUCGAGCGACGCACACUCAGUCCGUAAGGACAGGGUAUGACGGAGCGGCGAACGGGUGAGUAACACGUGAGCAACCUGCCCCACAGAUCGGGAUAGCCCAGGGAAACCUGGAUUAAUACCGAAUAUUCUCCUUGGACCACAUGGUCCGUUGAGGAAAUGCCUUUGUGCUGUGGGAUGGGCUCGCGACUUAUCAGUUAGUUGGUGGGGUAACGGCCUACCAAGACAAUGACGAGUAGCUGGUCUGAGAGGACGAUCAGCCACACUGGAACUGAGACACGGUCCAGACUCCUACGGGAGGCAGCAGCAGGGAAUCUUGCGCAAUGGACGAAAGUCUGACGCAGCGACACCGCGUGGGGGAUGAAGGCCUUCGGGUUGUAAACCCCUUUUAGGAGGGAAGAAAUUGACGGUACCUCCAGAAAAAGGACCGGCCAACUACGUGCCAGCAGCCGCGGUAAUACGUAGGGUCCGAGCGUUAUCCGGAAUCAUUGGGCGUAAAGAGCUCGUAGGCGGUUCAGCAAGUCGGCUGUGAAAGUUCGAGGCUCAACCUCGAAAUUGCAGUCGAUACUGCUGUGACUUGAAUUCGGUAGAGGAGAAUGGAAUUCCCGGUGUAGCGGUGAAAUGCGCAGAUAUCGGGAGGAACACCAGUGGCGAAGGCGGUUCUCUGGGCCGAUAUUGACGCUGAGGAGCGAAAGCGUGGGGAGCAAACAGGGUUAGAUACCCUGGUAGUCCACGCCGUAAACGUUGGAUGCUAGGUGUGGCGGUCUACCAACGACUGCCGUGCCGAAGCUAACGCAUUA